AGCUCCAAUAGCGUAUAUUAAAGUUGUUGCAGUUAAAAAGCUCGUAGUUGGAUUUCUGGGAGGGUGCCAAUGUCCGCCGACGUGCGUGCGCAGCGGCGCCCUCUCAUCCUUCUGUUAACGUCUCUCGGCAUUUAUUUGCCGGUGGCGGGCUCAGAUAUUUUACCUUGAGAAAAUUAGAGUGUUUCAGGCAGGCUAGGCCGGAAUACAUUAGCAUGGAAUAAUGGAAUAGGACUUCGGUCUCUUUGUUGGUUUGAGGGACUGCAGUAAUGAUUAAUAGGGAUAGUUGGGGGCAUUAGUAUUUAAUUGUCAGAGGUGGAAUUCUCGGAUUUGUUAAAGACUAACUUAUGCGAAAGCAUUUGCCAAGGAUGUUUUCAUUA
rnacentral:rRNA from 1 species